CGCCGCCCCUCCCCCGCGCGCGCUCCCGCCCGGCUCCAUCCACCCAACCAGGAAGUGAACCGCCGCCGGAAGUGCCUCUCGGGACGGCGCGGCGAGGGGCCGAGGCCCUCCUAUUGCUGCCGCCCGGUCGCGACAGACGAGAAGGAGUCGUGGGAGAGAAGGGGACCCAGGAGGGGGGUGUCUCAGUGUGUACAGAGUUUUGUAAAAGAACUUUUAUCACCCGAUCCGCAGUGCACCAUGGGAAAGGUAGUUCGGCGCAAGCCACCGGCCGGACUACAACUCCCAGGAUGCCCCUGACGGAGCGAGCAAAGUGGCUGCGGUGGCCUCCUUGGCCUCGAAGGUGGUUAGUGGGGUGGUGCAUUUGUGGGGAUUCGGUUAUUUAAACAUAUCCGGUAAAGAAACCGCCAAGGACUAGGAAACUGCUGUAUGUUCCACCCUUUUGAAGCCAUCUUACUUGCGGUUUGACCUCCCUGCACAAGGGAUUCUGGGGGUUGUUGUUUCCAAACGGAUCGAGAGGCUGACACCUGAAGGACGCGGCUUAACCGCUUAGCCUCUGGCCGGUCCUGCGGGGCUUACCGACGUCACCUGGGCAGAAGGUGGAAGAGGAGGGGUAAUCAGGAGAAUUUUGCUGGCAAUUGGUCCGAGGCCACAGUCGAACGCCAACUCUGAGUAGAACCUGUGCCCUUCCGCCGCCAACCUCAAAAAGCCGUUUUUGCUCCCAGAUGUUGUUGAGAACCGCUCGGCGGUCAGCUCUGAGCUAGGCGCAGUGAGAGCGCUUAAUAAGACGGUGUCCCGGCUGGGAAUCUACAGGCAGGACUCAAACCGAGAAACUUAAACGUUGUGUUCAGGGCAGAUUCUAGGGUACCAGCAGAUCCAAGCCGUUGGCUGUGACCCCAAACUGGGGCUGGCUCGUCUGCCGACAGUGACCCUCAGUUCUUCCACGUUUGCUGAUGCUAUGGGUGGGCCUUACCUUCACAUAUCCCCUCACACAAGAACCCAAGACUGAUCUGUUGUUAUUUCUUUUUCACUCAAGAUUCCCUCCUUCCUUGAUGCUGAUUUUUACCCUGAUACCGCCUGAGUGCCAAAGUCCACUUGGCGGACAAUGUGAUUUUCAUCUGCCAAAUGCAGAAGACUUGGAAGGCCAGUUACUACCCUUCUACAUCCCUAGAUUUCCUGAUGGACGGUGCUUAAGGGCCCGUCUGAUACACAAACAGUAAAGUCUAUGAAACAACUUGCUGACAUUUCACAAAGCAAUACCCAGAUCAAGAGUUCCAAAAUUGCCAAUACUCCAAAAAUCCCCAAAGUCAUUGCUCCCAAUCAGUAUUUCUUUUCUUUUCAAAGAUAAUUAUAACCUUAACUUCUGUGAUAACUAUUUUCUUGCUUAUCUGUAUAGUUUUAUCUUCUAAGUGUGGAACCCUAAACAGUGUGUUUUUGUUUUUGUUUUUUUUUUUGCCUGUAUUUAACUUUAUAUAAAUAGAAUGAUGCAAUAUAUAUUCUUGUUGAUCUGGUCUCUUUUAUUCAAUAAUAUAUUUUUAAGACUCAUACAGGUUAUGUAUAGCUGUUGUUUUUACUUUGCUUAAUAGCAUUGUAUUAUAUGAAUAUACAUGCUCUUUGUUUAUUCAUUCUUCUGUUGAUGGACUUUGAGGCAGUUUCCAGUUUGAGAUGAUUACAAACAGAGAUGCUAUGAUCAUUCUUGUAUAUGUCUUAUAGAGAACAUGUAUGCAUAUUUUGUUGGGUAUAUUUCCUAUCAAUGAUAUCAGUAUUUGUAAGUUAUAUGUAACUUCAAUUUUAUUAGAUACUAUCAAGAAUUUUCUAAAGUAUCAUACUAACUUACACUCCUGUAGCAGCAGAUAAAAGUAUUCCUUGUUCACAACUUCAGUUGUGGUAGGGCUGGUCUUUUAAUUUUAGCCAUUCAUGGUGUCUUGUUAUAUUAUUUACAUUGCCCUGAUUAUUAGUGAUGUUAAGUAUCUUUUCAUAUGUCUGUUAUCCAUUAGUUAUCCUUUUUUUUCUCCCCAAAAAAAUGUCUGUUCAAGUCUUUUACCCAUUUUUCUUUUGGGUUGGCUGUCAGUUUCUUAUUGGUUUGUAGAAUCUCUUUAAAUAUUCCAUACUUGAGCUCUUUGUAAGUUGUAAGUGUUACAAAUAUCUUAUCCAUAUUCCAUAUCUUUUAAUGAAUAGUUCUUAAUAUUAAUGUUAAAUUUAUAUUGUUUAUAAUGUUAAAUAAAUGCCAAAUUAAUCCAC